CUCCUGCUCUGAACAGUGUGUUCACAGAAUCACAUAGAAAAACCUCUUCGUUUCUGUUUCCAUUACAUCAGCUACAAGAAGUCCAUGCAGAAGAUAUGGCGCUUUAAUAAUUAACCAGAGAACUGUCUAGAUUGAUUAAAAACCCCAGACAAAUGGUAUAUAUAUGAAACAAAUUAACCCUGCUGAGAUAAUAAAUCAAAACAAUUUAAUCUCCUGAACUUUACCACCUUCUUUACUACAGAUCAAGUGGCGUAUAAGUUUAUCUCUACAUGUGCUGUGUUUGGGUUUAUCUCUAGUGUGGUAUUUUCUAUGAUUACCAGGUAACUUUCAGCCUUUAUUUUACAGUUCAAGCAACAGGGCUUUCACUGCUUCCUCAGGAGACUUCAUUAACAGAUCCCCAGCAGGAUUCCCAAUAGUGCAGAGGAAAAACUGUGAAGUAAUCAGCAUUCCAAAAAUCCCACAGCGGACUCUGGAGGGAAGCACGCAAACAAAUAAGUUGUGCUGUCAGAGAUGAUCCGGUGUCCUGGGGGAUUUUAAAGCUGUUCUUUUAGUGAAAAAUGUGACUGGCAAGAAGUUUGCUUUUUACUACCUUCAAGUUUCCCUCCUUCCUUUGGCCACCAGUCCAUCACGAAGCACGCAGAGCCCUCGGAUGCUGCCAAAGCACACAAGUUAUACAAGCGGGCAUGUCGCGGGCUGACUCGGUGACUCAGGGCUUGGCAACUGCCCUACAAACAGAGCUACUGAGUUGGGUUGGGAUCUGGGGAACCACAGGACUCUCCUGCUUGCACAGCUCGCUUGCAAAGCUCGGCUCUGGAGAAUUACUAGAGAGUGAAAACGUGACCAAAACGUGUGAAUUGCUAACUGAGUCGACAAAUUCGAGGAGGGUUUAGAAAUCUGAUGGACUCCAGCUCCUGCGCCAGACAUCACUGUCACCGCUGCUGGUCACCUAAAAAAACCCCCAACCUCCAAUGUCGGGCAGAUAUUGAGGAUGCAGUAGGAACAUUGUUUGUUGACUUUCUGGACCUGGGGACUCCAUCACCUCUCCCUGGAGAGGAGGGAAAGGGUAUCUGUGCUCAGUUUGGUUCAACACUGGAAUUUCAGGUAGAAAUUGCAGG